AGCGAACGCUGGCGGCGUACUUAACACAUGCAAGUCGAACGGGGAUCGUCGGUGUAGCAAUACAUCGGCGGCUCUAGUGGCGCACGGGUGAGUAACACGUGGGUAACCUGCCCUUGAGUUCGGGAUACCCUUUCGAAAGGAAGGCUAAUACCGGAUACGUUCCUCGGAUUGCGAAAUCUGGGGAGGAAAGGUGGCGCAAGCUGCCGCUCUUGGAGGGGCUCGCGGCCUAUCAGCAGUUGGUGAGGUAACGGCUCACCAAGGCUAUGACGGGUAGCUGGUCUGAGAGGACGACCAGCCACACGGGAACUGAGACACGGUCCCGACUCCUACGGGAGGCAGCAGUGGGGAAUUUUCCGCAAUGGGCGAAAGCCUGACGGAGUGACGCCGCGU
rnacentral:rRNA from 1 species